rnacentral:rRNA from 1 species
UACGUAGGGUGCAAGCGUUGUCCGGAAUUAUUGGGCGUAAAGAGCUCGUAGGCGGUUUGUUGCGUCGGCUGUGAAAUCCCGAGGCUCAACCUCGGGUCUGCAGUCGAUACGAGCAAACUAGAGUGUUGCAGGGGAGACUGGAAUUCCUGGUGUAGCGGUGAAAUGCGCAGAUAUCAGGAGGAACACCAGCGGCGAAGGCGGCGCUCUGGGCCGAUACUGACGCUGAGGAGCGAAAGCGUGGGGAGCGAACAGG